GUAAGUUUAGUUUAAUCUAAAGCAUUAGAUCGUGACUCUAAAGACAGAGGUUGAAAUCCCCUAACUCACC
rnacentral:tRNA from 1 species